UAAUACGGAGGGUGCAAGCGUUAUCCGGAAUCACUGGGUUUAAAGGGUGCGUAGGCGGAUAUUUAAGUCAGUGGUGAAAUCUUGUCGCUUAACGAUAAAAUUGCCAUUGAUACUGAAUGUCUUGAAUUGGGUUGAGGUUAGCGGAAUGUGACAUGUAGCGGUGAAAUGCAUAGAUAUGUCAUGGAACACCAAUUGCGAAGGCAGCUAGCUGGGCCUUGAUUGACGCUGAGGCACGAAAGCGUGGGUAGCGAACAGG
rnacentral:rRNA from 1 species